GCCCUGGUGGCACAAUGGUUAAGCAUUCGACUGCUAACCAAAAGAUUGGUGGUUCUAACCCACUCAGAGGCU
rnacentral:tRNA from 1 species